rnacentral:sRNA from 1 species
UAGCAGUUCUUCAACUGCAUACAAGCGGA